AAUAUCCUUCGGGGCAGGGUGAAAUUCCCUACCGGCGGUGAUGAAGCAGCAAUGCUUCUUAGUCCGUGACCCGGUUAACAAUUGUUAAACGGUGGAUCUGGUGAAACUCCAGAGCCGACAGUUAAAGUCUGGAUGGGAGAAGGAAAAA
rnacentral:ncRNA from 2 species